UACGGAGGAUCCAAGCGUUAUCCGGAAUCAUUGGGUUUAAAGGGUCCGUAGGCGGUUUAGUAAGUCAGUGGUGAAAGCCCAUCGCUCAACGGUGGAACGGCCAUUGAUACUGCUAGACUUGAAUUAUUAGGAAGUAACUAGAAUAUGUAGUGUAGCGGUGAAAUGCCUAGAGAUUACAUGGAAUACCAAUUGCGAAGGCAGGUUACUACUAAUGGAUUGACGCUGAUGGACGAAAGCGUGGGUAGCGAACAGG
rnacentral:rRNA from 1 species